rnacentral:rRNA from 1 species
AUUGAACGCUGGCGGCAGGCUUAACACAUGCAAGUCGAGCGAGCGGCGGACGGGUGAGGAAUGUCUGGGAAACUGCCUGAUGGAGGGGGAUCACUACUGGAAACGGUAGCUAAUACCGCAUACCCUCAUGUGUGCCCAGAUGGGCUUAGCUAGUAGGUGUGGUAAUGGCUAACCUAGGCGACGAUCCCUAGCUGGUAGGAGAGGAUGACCAGCCACACUGGAACUGAGACACGGUCCAGACUCCUACGGGAGGCAGCAUUGGGGAAUAUUGCACAAUGGGCGCAAGCCUGAUGCAGCCAUGCCGCGGGUGUGAAGAAGGCCUUCGGGUUGUAAAGCACUUUCAGCGAGGAGGCGUUACUCGCAGAAGAAGCACCGGCUAACUCCGUGCCAGCAGCCGCGGUAAUUC